GGAGGGAUCAUUUCUGGAAGAGCCUUUGGCUCUCGGAACCCUCCGAUUUUUAAACAAGCUUUGUGAUGGAUCACUUGGGUGUUGUGACGAUGAAGAACGUAGCAAGCCGCGUUAUGUAAUGCGACAUGCAAAGCUCGUGAAGCAUCGAAAUUUUGAACAUACACACGACCGAGUAGUGCUUCGGUGCUGCUCGGUGCUUGCUCGAGAGUGUCAGUUUUUCGUAUUGUUUGGACAAGGAGUGCGAGGCUUAAUUGAUUCCUCCAAGAAAAGCAACCUUGUUUAUCUAGGCAAGAUGCGAUUGUGUCGCUUGUCUAACGGAUGAUAAUUUACUUUUGUAAAUUUCUGACCUCUCCUGUGAGAGAUUACCUACUGAAUUUAAGCAUAUUAGUAAGUAGAGGAAAAGAAAUCAAAAGAGAUUCCCUUAGUAGCGGCGAGUGAAACGGGAAAAGCCCAUCCUGAAACCUGGCGCAAGCUGGGUGUUGUGGGGUGCGGGAUAUUAUCCGAAGUGUGUAGGGGAAUCCAAUUGUCUGGAAAGUCAAACCAUAGAGGGUGAAAGUCCCGUUCGAUUCUUCGAAGCAUGGUAUGGAUAAUGUUCUACGAGUAGCAUUCUUUGAAAGUAGAAUGUGAAUAUGGGUGAUGAAUUUCAUCUAAGGCUAAAUAUUAACACAACACACCGAUAGCAAACAAGUACUGAGAAGGAAAGUUGAAAAGAUCCCUGACGAGGGGCUGAAAAAUAUGUGAAAUCACUGAGUAACAAAGCGAAGCCAACACGCUCGUUUGUCGGGUGGCUCUGCCUAGAUCCGACAUACCAGAAACGUAUCUCUUGGUGCGUGCAAAGGCCAUAUGUUCUGGAAAAAUGCUAUCUUUGGAGCUUGAAACCAAAGCAGUGAACUCGUUUCGGCGGGGGAGCUGUGGAGGCCAGGGUUCCUUGGAUGGUAUCUUGAAAGUUACGAUCAUGGUUUAUUCUGGAGUGAGCAUUGGAUUCGACCCGUCUUGAAACACGGACCAAGGAGUCUAACAUGCCUGCAAGGGAGUAGCAUUGAAAUGCGAACCCCGCAGUGAAUGCAUACGGUGUUAGCCUCGGCGAAGCACCAACCAAUCCAGAACUUCGGUUGGAAUUGCGUUCGAGUUAUAUUGUUGAGACCCGAAAGAUGGUGACCUAUACCUGAAUAGAUUGAAGUCAGGGUAACCUCUGAUGGAGGAUCUCGAACGGUGCUGACGUGCAAAUCGCUCGUCGUACUUGGGUAUUGGAGCGAAAGACUCAUCGAACCAUCAGGUAGCUGGUUCCUCC
rnacentral:misc_RNA from 1 species